AUUGAACGCUAGCGGGAUCCCUUACACAUGCAAGUCGAACGGCAGCACGGACUUCGGUCUGGUGGCGAGUGGCGAACGGGUGAGUAAUGUAUCGGAACGUGCCCCAGUAGCGGGGGAUAACUACGCGAAAGCGUAGCUAAUACCGCAUACGCCCUACGGGGGAAAGCAGGGGAUCGCAAGACCUUGCGCUAUUGGAGCGGCCGAUAUCGGAUUAGCUAGUUGGUGGGGUAACGGUCACCAAGGCGACGACCGUAGCUGGUUUGAGAGGACGACCAGCCACACUGGGACUGAGACACGGCCCAGACUCCUACGGGAGGCAGCAGUGGGGAAUUUGGCAAUGGGGGAAACCCUGAUCCAGCCAUCGCGUGUGCGAUGAAGGCCUCGGGUUGUAAAGCACUUUUGCAGGAAAGAUACGUCAUGGGUAAUACCCCGUGAAACUGACGGUACCUGCAGAAUAAGCACCG
rnacentral:rRNA from 1 species